rnacentral:rRNA from 1 species
CCUACGGGAGGCAGCAGUGGGGAAUAUUGCACAAUGGGGGAAACCCUGAUGCAGCGACGCCGCGUGAGUGAAGAAGUAUUUCGGUACGUAAAACUCUAUCUGCAGGGAAGAAAUGAAGUCCUUUGGACUUUGGACGGUACCUGACUAAGAAGCCCCGGCUAACUACGUGCCAGCAGCCGCGGUAAUACGUAGGGGGCAAGCUUUAUCCGGAUUUACUGGGUGUAAAGGGAGCGUAGACGGCAGGGCAAGUCUGGAGUGAAAUCCCAUGGCUUAACCAUGGAACUGCUUUGGAUACUGGGCAGCUGGAGUGCAGGAGAGGUAGGCGGAAUUCGUGGUGUAGCGGUGAAAUGCGUAGAUAUUAGGAAGAACACCAGUGGCGAAGGCAGCUUACUGGACUGUCACUGACGUUGAGGCUCGAAAGCGUGGGGAGCAAACAGGAUUAGAUACCCCUGUAGUC